AACCUGUUAAGUGCAGGGAGAUAUCUCAUAAUAUAAACUGUAGCUUGGUGGUCUGUCGGGGCUUAAGCCAAAAAUAAACACUGCAGUAAGGUACACAUUUAACCGAAAUCGUCGAAGACAAUUGCAAUAUUUAACUCGAAAACGACAAACAGAACGUGCGACCCCAAAAUUAACCAGCAAGAGCCGGAGAAAAUACCGAAUAUAAUUAACUACAACUGGAUGCACUGCAGCCCCUCACCUUAUAUCCCUCGGCUUUUUGCUUACAAUGGGUUAAACGGGCCUUACACUCAAAACAUAUCC
ensembl:ncRNA lncRNA:CR44200 long non-coding RNA:CR44200